rnacentral:rRNA from 1 species
CUCGCCUGCAUGAAGUCGGAAUUGCUAGUAAUCGUAGGUCAGCAUACUACGGUGAAUACGUUCCCGGGCCUUGUACACACCGCCCGUCAAACCAUGAGAGUUGGCAACACCCGAAGUCGGUAGUCUAACCGCAAGGAGGACGCCGCCGAAGGUGGGGUUGAUGAUUAGGGUUAAGUCGUAACAAGGUACC